rnacentral:rRNA from 1 species
GACGAACGCUGGCGGCGUGCUUAACACAUGCAAGUCGAGCGGUAAGGCCCUUUCGGGGGUACACGAGCGGCGAACGGGUGAGUAACACGUGGGUGACCUGCCCUCAGCUCUGGGAUAAGCCUGGGAAACCGGGUCUAAUACCGGAUAUGACUCCAUGACGCAUGUUGUGGGGUGGAAAGCCUUGUGCGGCUGAGGAUGGGCCCGCGGCCUAUCAGCUUGUUGGUGGGGUGAUGGCCUACCAAGGCGACGACGGGUAGCCGGCCUGAGAGGGCGACCGGCCACACUGGGACUGAGACACGGCCCAGACUCCUACGGGAGGCAGCAGGUGGGGAAUCUUGCGACAAGUGGGACGAAAGCCUGACGCAGCGACGCCGCGU